ACCUGAUGCAGCGACGCCGCGUGAGGGAUGGAGGCCUUCGGGUUGUAAACCUCUUUCGCCAGUGAAGCAGGCCUGUCCCUUGUGGGUGGGUUGACGGUAGCUGGAUAAGAAGCGCCGGCUAACUACGUGCCAGCAGCCGCGGUAAUACGUAGGGCGCGAGCGUUGUCCGGAAUUAUUGGGCGUAAAGAGCUCGUAGGCGGCUGGUCGCGUCUGUCGUGAAAUCCUCUGGCUUAACUGGGGGCUUGCGGUGGGUACGGGCCGGCUUGAGUGCGGUAGGGGAGACUGGAACUCCUGGUGUAGCGGUGGAAUGCGCAGAUAUCAGGAAGAACACCGGUGGCGAAGGCGGGUCUCUGGGCCGUUACUGACGCUGAGGAGCGAAAGCGUGGGGAGCGAACA
rnacentral:rRNA from 1 species